AUUUGAGCGUAGUCGAGUGAAGAUGGUCGUCGCCGUCGCGUUGUAAAGAAAAGUGCCGUGUGUGAGGAAAAAGUUCAGAUCAGAUUUGUUGGAGAAAAUUAACGAAAAAAAGCCUUUUCGGCCAGUUAAUUGUGAAAAUAGUUGAAACAGACCUGUGAGUGCAGUUUGCGAUCGUGCUGACGAUCAAAAAAACAGUUUUAAUAGUGAAAAACGAUCCAUUGGAAAGUUUCUUUUAAACCCCGCUAGGAGCUCGCUCUCCCGGACAGUAAGCUUCUAGCCAUGACGACUGACAUCUCGGUAGUACGAUGGGACCCCAGUCAGGGUCCCGGUCAGGAAUACAUCGACGAAUACGAAUACGAUGGAGGAAACUCCAGUUCACGUCUUUUCGAACGGUCACGAAUAAAAGCUUUAGCAGAGGAACGUGAAAGUGUUCAAAAAAAGACAUUCACAAAAUGGGUCAAUUCGCAUUUAGUGCGGGUCAACAGUCGAAUAGGCGACCUGUACGUUGACAUGCGAGAUGGCAAAAAUUUGAUUAAGCUCUUGGAAGUGUUAUCCGGGGAGCGCUUGCCAAGGCCAACGAAGGGAAAGAUGCGUAUCCACUGCCUAGAGAAUGUAGACAAAGCAUUGCAGUUCCUGCGUGAUCAGCGCGUCCAUUUGGAGAACAUCGGCUCCCACGAUAUUGUCGAUGGUAAUGCAAGUCUAAAUCUAGGUCUGAUUUGGACUAUCAUUUUGCGGUUCCAGAUCCAAGACAUUACAAUAGAAGAAACUGACAACAAAGAAACGAAAUCCGCAAAAGAUGCCUUGUUGCUCUGGUGUCAAAUGAAAACUGCCGGUUAUCACAAUGUUAACGUGCGCAAUUUCACCACAUCAUGGCGCGAUGGUCUUGCAUUUAAUGCAAUUAUUCACAAACAUCGCCCGGACCUGAUUCAGUUUGAAAAGCUGACAAAGAACAACCCUAUCCAGAACCUGAACAAUGCGUUCAACGUUGCGGAAGAGAAGCUUGGACUGACUAAGCUGCUGGAUGCAGAGGAUGUGUUCGUCGAACACCCGGACGAAAAGUCCAUCAUCACAUAUGUCGUGACGUACUACCACUAUUUCAGCAAGCUGAAACAGGAGACCGUGCAGGGCAAACGUAUCGGCAAGGUAGUAGGUAUCGCCAUGGAUAACGAUCGUAUGAUCAACGAGUAUGAAUCGCUUACCAGUGAGUUGCUGAAGUGGAUCGAAGUGACAAUCGUUCAGUUAGGUGAUCGACAAUUCGCGAACUCGUUGGUUGGUGUACAACAGCAACUAGCACAAUUCUCUAAUUACCGAACGGUUGAAAAACCACCGAAGUUCGUGGAAAAGGGAAACUUAGAAGUGCUGCUAUUCACCCUUCAAUCUAAAAUGAGAGCAAACAAUCAAAAACCGUACACUCCAAAAGAGGGAAAAAUGAUUUCUGAUAUUAACAAAGCUUGGGAGCGUUUGGAGAAGGCUGAACAUGAACGAGAAUUAGCACUCCGAGAAGAACUUAUCCGGCAGGAAAAAUUGGAACAGUUGGCUGCACGUUUCAAUCGCAAAGCAACAAUGAGGGAAACCUGGUUAUCAGAAAACCAACGUCUGGUCAGUACAGACAAUUUCGGAUUCGAUUUGGCAGCAGUUGAAGCAGCUGCCAAGAAGCAUGAAGCCAUUGAGACCGAUAUUUUUGCUUACGAAGAACGAGUUCAAGCUGUUGUUGCAGUUUGUAAUGAGUUGGAGGCCGAAAAGUAUCAUGACAUAGAACGAAUUGCUGCUCGUAAGGAGAAUGUUCUUCGUCUGUGGAACUAUCUUCUUGAACUUUUGAGGGCUAGGCGAAUGCGGCUGGAAUUCUCCAUUCAGUUGCAACAGAACUUCCAGGAAAUGAUCUACAUUUUAGACUCGAUGGAGGAAAUCAAACAGCGUCUGCUAACCGACGAUUACGGCAAGCAUUUGAUGGGUGUGGAAGACUUGUUGCAAAAGCAUUCACUAGUUGAAGCUGAUAUAAACGUUCUCGGCGAACGUGUUAAACAAGUUGUACAGAACUCACAAAAAUUCUUGGGCGACGAAGAAGGCGGUUACAAGCCUUGCGACCCAGCGAUCAUUGUCGACCGUGUUCAGCGUCUAGAAGAUGCAUAUGCCGAGUUGUGCAAACUUGCUGUUGAACGUCGUUCUCGGCUUGAAGAGAGUCGCAAGCUGUGGCAAUUCUAUUGGGAUAUGGCAGAUGAAGAAAAUUGGAUUAAAGAAAAGGAACAGAUUGUAUCCACUGAUGAGAUUGGUCAUGAUCUAACAACUGUGAAUCUUUUGUUAUCAAAACACAAAGCAUUAGAGAAGGAAAUUAAUUCUCAUGAACAACAGUUAAUGGCUGUUAGCACAGUUGGUGACGAACUGGUUCGUCAGGGACACUUUGGAGCUGACCGCAUCGACGAACGUCUCAAAGAGAUCUUGGCUAUGUGGAACAAUUUGUUGGACUUGACCGUUUCGCGUCGUAAGCGCCUUGAAAAUGCAGUGGACUACUUCCAGCUGUUUGCCGAUGCUGAUGAUGUGGAUAACUGGAUGUUGGAUGCUCUACGCCUCGUUUCAUCCGAAGAUGUUGGACGAGAUGAAGCCAAUGUGCAGAGUCUAUUGAAAAAACACAAAGACGUUGCGGAUGAACUGAAAAAUUAUGCCGAAACCAUUGAACAGUUGCAUACUCAGGCUAAGAAUUUGAUCCUGAAUGAACCGGAACAGCAAAAGGUUCAGGAACGUCUUGCUGCUAUCGAUGCCCGUUACAAAGAACUCAUGGAACUGGCUAAACUUCGCAAACAACGGCUAUUGGACGCCCUUAGUCUGUAUAAACUCAUUUCCGAAAGUGACGGAGUGGAACAAUGGAUAGGCGAAAAAGAACGUAUGUUACAGACUAUGGUACCAGGAAAAGAUAUCGAGGAUGUUGAAAUCAUGAAACAUCGUUACGAUGGUUUUGAUAAGGAAAUGAAUGCGAAUGCUUCCCGCGUAGCUGUCGUUAAUCAGCUUGCUCGCCAGCUCUUACACGUUGAGCAUCCCAAUUCGGAGGAAAUCAUUGAAAAGCAGAAUCAUCUGAAUCAAAGCUGGUCGAAACUUCGAGACCAGGCCGAAAGUAAGCGCGACGAGCUGAAAUCUGCUCAUGGAGUACAGACAUUCUACAUCGAAUGCCGUGAAACCGUGUCCUGGAUCGAGGAUAAAAAACGUAUUCUUACAGAAACAGACAGUCUGCAGAUGGAUUUGACCGGGGUAAUGACAUUGCAACGUCGUCUAAGCGGAAUGGAACGUGACUUGGCCGCGAUCCAAGCCAAAUUAACUGCCCUUGAAAGUGAAGCAGAUGCAAUCGAAGGUGAACAUCCAGAGGAAGCUGCUUUGAUCCGCGAAAGAGUGGCCCAAAUCCAAGUUAUUUGGGAACAGUUGACACAAAUGCUUAAAGAACGUGACUCGAAACUGGAAGAAGCAGGCGAUCUGCAUCGUUUCCUGCGUGAUUUAGAUCACUUCCAGACCUGGUUAACCAAGACACAGACGGAUGUGGCUUCAGAAGACACUCCAACUUCGCUACCAGAAGCCGAAAAACUACUGAAUCAACACCAGAGUAUUCGUGAAGAAAUCGACAACUAUACUGAGGAUUACACUAAGAUGAUGGAGUAUGGUGAAGGUUUAACUUCAGAGCCGACACAAACCGAAGAUCCACAAUACAUGUUCCUACGUGAACGCUUGAAGGCCCUGAAGGAUGGUUGGGAAGAACUGCAUCAAAUGUGGGAGAAUCGGCAGGUUUUGCUUUCGCAGAGCUUGGAUCAACAGCUAUUUAACCGAGAUGCUCGGCAGGCCGAAGUGCUUCUAAGCCAACAAGAGCAUGUUCUUAGCAAGGAUGAUACGCCGGUUAAUCUUGAACAAGCGGAAAAUCAACUGAAGCGUCACGAGGCUUUCCUUACUACGAUGGAAGCCAAUGACGAAAAGAUCAACACUAUUAUCCAAGUUUCAGAGCAGUUGGCUGAGAAACAGCACUUCGAUUCGGAAAAGAUUGGUAAGCGAGCGGAAAGCAUCGCUCAUCGACGCGAUGACAAUCGUACCCGUGCUAUUGAGUUGCACGAAAAAUUGAAGAACCAAGUGAAACUGCACGAAUUCCUGCAGGAUAUUGAAGAGCUGACUGAAUGGGUACAAGAAAAAUACAUCACUGCUCAGGAUGACACUUACCGUAGCGCUAAAACCGUUCAUAGCAAAUGGACACGCCAUCAAGCCUUUGAGGCGGAAAUUGCUGCAAACAAAGAGCGUUUACAUGAGGCUCAAAAGGCUGCCCAAGAUUUAAUGGUGGAGAAACCGGAGUUCAAAGAAAUCAUUGAACCCAAGUUGCAAGAUUUGGCGAAGAACUUUGACGAUCUCGAGACAAGCACCAAAGAAAAGGGAGCUCUUCUAUUCGAUGCUAAGCGUGAAGUUAUCGUGCAACAGAGCGUGGAUGAUAUUGAUUCCUGGAUGGAUGAUCUCGAAAAGCAAAUCAUCAAUACUGAUACGGGUAAUGAUUUGACUUCAGUGAAUAUUUUGAUGCAAAAGCAACAGGUCAUUCAAACACAGAUGGCUGUCAAAGCGCGUCAAGUUGAAGAGCUUGAGAAGCAAACCGAAGUCCUUACAAAGACCGUUCCUCAGGAUGUCGUAGAACCGAUUGUGGAGAAGAAACAAGCUGUUCACGACCGGUUCGAAAAGAUCAAAGCUCCAUUGCUCGAGCGUCAACGCCAGCUCGAGAAAAAGAAGGAAGCCUUCCAGUUCCGUCGUGAUGUCGAGGAAGAAAAACUGUGGAUUGAUGAAAAGAUGCCGUUGGCUAACUCCCAGGAGUAUGGUAACUCAUUGUUCAAUGUGCAUGUACUGAAAAAGAAGCAUCAAUCGCUGAACACCGAAAUUGAUAAUCACGAACCGCGAAUAAUGACUAUCUGUAAUAAUGGACAAAAACUGAUCGAUGAAGGGCAUGAAGAUGCUUCUCAAUUCGCGGAUCUCAUCAGUCAACUGACACUGAAAUGGCAGGAGUUGAAGGAUGCAAUCGAUAAUCGACACAAACAGUUGGACCAAUCAGAAAAGGUACAGCAAUACUUCUUUGAUGCUGCUGAAGCAGAAUCAUGGAUGAGCGAACAGGAACUGUACAUGAUGGUAGAAGACCGGGGUAAGGAUGAAAUUUCCGCUCAGAAUCUAAUGAAGAAACAUGAAACACUCGAACAAUCGGUUGAAGACUAUGCAGAUACAAUCCGACAGUUGGGAGAGACCGCACGGCAGUUGACUACUGAACAGCACGCUUACAGUGACCAGGUGUCGGUUAAACAAUCCCAGUUGGACAAACUUUAUGCAGGAUUGAAGGAUUUGGCCGGUGAACGCCGUGCUCGUUUGGAUGAAGCUCUGCAACUCUUCAUGUUGAACCGAGAGGUAGAUGAUCUUGAACAAUGGAUCGCCGAACGUGAAUUGGUUGCAGGGUCGCAUGAACUUGGCCAAGAUUAUGACCACAUCACAUUAUUAUGGGAACGAUUCAACGAAUUUGCCCAAGACACUGCAACCGUAGGAAGCGAACGUGUGGCCAAGGCGAAUGGUAUUGCGGAUGACCUUAUAAGUGCUGGUCACUCUGAUAGCGCUACAAUAGCCGAAUGGAAGGAUGGUUUGAACGAAUCCUGGCAGGAUCUUUUGGAACUGAUUGAAACUAGGAAGGCUAUGCUUGCUGCAUCUCGCGAACUGCAUAAGUUCUUCCACGACUGCAAAGAUGUUCUUGGUCGCAUUAUUGAAAAGCAACAUGGAGUUUCGGAUGAACUGGGACGUGAUGCUGGUUCUGUGUCAGCUCUACAACGCAAACAUCAAAAUUUUAUUCAGGACCUUAUGACGCUCCACUCACAAGUACAACUAAUUCAGGAAGAAUCUGCAAAACUUCAAGCAGCAUAUGCUGGUGAGAAAGCACGAGAAAUCACCAACCGAGAACACGAGGUACUCGCCGCUUGGGCCAAUUUGCAGGGCAUGUGCGACGCUCGUAAGAACAAACUCGCUGACACGGGAGAUUUGUUCAAGUUCUUCAACAUGGUCCGUACAUUAAUGCUUUGGAUGGAAGAUGUCGUACGACAAAUGAACACAUCUGAAAAGCCACGUGAUGUUUCUGGCGUUGAACUGCUAAUGAACAAUCAUCAAAGUUUAAAAGCAGAAAUUGAUACCCGCGAGGACAACUUCUCAGCAUGCUUGGCUCUUGGAAAAGAGCUGUUAGCAAGGAAUCAUUACGCUUCUGCAGACAUCAAGGAACGCCUGCUACAACUGACUAACAGUAGAAACGCUCUAUUACAUCGAUGGGAAGAACGUUGGGAAAAUCUCCAGCUGAUUCUUGAGGUAUAUCAGUUUGCUCGCGAUGCUGCUGUUGCCGAGGCUUGGCUUAUUGCACAGGAACCAUAUUUGAUGUCAACGGAACUGGGACACACGAUUGACGAAGUUGAAAAUUUGAUUAAGAAACACGAGGCAUUCGAAAAAUCUGCUGCAGCACAAGAAGAACGUUUCAGUGCUCUAGAGCGAUUAACAACGUUUGAGCUCAAAGAAAUGAAACGUCGCCAAGAAGCAGCGGAAGAAGCCGAACGUCAACGUUUACAGGCCGAAGCUGAAGCCAAGGCUGCGGCAGAGGCGGAAGCGGAAGCAGCACGGCAGGCUGAAGCGGCCGCACGAGACACAGCCGAUGCGCCAGGAUCGCCACAUUCCCCAAAAGAGCAGGAAUCAGUGCAUGCAAAACCUAGGCCUGGCAGUAAAGAAGUGACCAUGCCUAUGCAAGGUCCAAGAACGUCAAGUUCAAGAACGGGUACGGUGCCCAAAUAUGCCUCUACUGGCACUGAUGCACCCAGCACCAGUACUCCUAGGAGACACUCAGGAACACCUAAAGAGCGAUCUGCGAGUACUGCCAGCGCUUCAGCAUCCAAAAUCAGCAGAAGAUCUCGCUCCAAGAGUCCAUUCCGGAGUUUCCGCUGGAAACGCGGAAGCUCCAAAGCUGAUGUAUCCGACGAAGAAGGAGAUCGCCCGAGCCCGGGAGGUACUGAUGAGGGUGUUCAAGAGGGUAUUCUAACCAGGAAACACGAAUGGGAAUCAACGACUAAGAAGUCAACCAACAGGUCCUGGGAUAAGGUGUACAGUGUCGCACGUAAUGGUCGUCUAGCCUUUUUCAAGGAUCAGAAAUCAUCCAAGUCGGUUCCAGAGCAGACGUUCCGUGGUGAGCCGCCACUGGAGCUGAAGGGAGCCCAGAUCGAAAUCGCCACUGAUUACACCAAGAAGAAGCAUGUGUUCAGAAUAAAGUUGUCAAACGGAGGAGAAUUCCUGCUUCAAUGUCAUGACGACGCCGAAAUGAAUCAAUGGGUAACUGCUUUGAAAGCCCAGUGCGAGCUUGACGCUAGCGGUGAAGGCCGUUCGUUAACGCUACCCGCGUCAUCCCAAAAAGAUGAACAAAAGAGACGGUCAUUCUUUACCCUGAAGAAAAAGUAAAUUGAAUUUUACUCCUUCUUCCCUCAAAAAAUCCAUAUAAUCACACAAAACACACGCCUCAUAAACCCACAUGCAAAUAUCUUUUCUUCGCGUAUACGGCAAGAUUUUUUUUUUACGAUUCACAAACACAACUAUUUACUGUGUCAAGCAUUUUAACCCUCCGAAUAGUUAGAUUAAAACGUCACAAUGGAACGGGUGCGAACCGAUCGCAAAUUUCCAAAAAAAUCGGUAACUUUUCAGUUUACGUUCGGUAUCUUAUAUUCUGUUAAUCAAUAUGCGUUGAUCGCUUGGGCUGUAAACCAAAAAAGAUUUGUUUUAUGUUUGCGAUUCGUUCUUUCGGGGAUUAUCGGUAUAUUGAUGUUCGGGUAAUUGCGUUUCUUGGUUUUGGACUCCAUCAUAUUCUAUCAUAUCAUCCCGUUUCAUCAUCAAAUCGAACAAAAAAAGCAUCAGUAUUUUUCUUCGAACCAUUUAAUUUUUCGGACUGGUGACCGUUAAAAACUUUACAAAAACAUACAUGAUCCGAUAUCGACACAUCUAUGCAAACAGAUUGAGAAGUGAUCAUCAAAAAAACCUGUACUAAACCCAAUUGGACGACCUUCUGUUUUAAUUAGUUGAUAGAAACAAACGACAAGGUUAUGUACGUACUCUCCACCACAGCUACAAAAAGGCAACCUAAGCGCAACGUUUGGAGACGUCAACAAGCUGUGAGCUAUAAUAAUAAUUGAUAUUUUGACAAACGUAAAUAUUUCAACCUACACCAAUCAGAAAUGACAAAUGUCGACAAUUUCGACCCAGUCCAGUGAUUAACUGCAGCAGCACAUAGCGAAAACACUUCAUUGCAAUUAAUUUUAUCAAUGUUGAGUGAUUCUGAGAUCCUCUCAUGUUCACACAAACCCAUCAAUCAUUGUCACAUCGUAACGCGAGUAAUUAUAGGCUAUCUUUCGAGUACCUAUCGAAUAUAAGAACUUUGCAAAAUGAACAGCGUCUUCGCAAUACAAGUUAGAACCUUUAAAAUAAAACACAACAAAAUGUUUAGAUAAGUGAAACUAAAGUCGUUGUCGAAUUAAGAACACUUUACACAAAGUAACGCUCCGCUAAAGCUGAUUUGGAACCAAAAUGAAAAUUCCUACAUGUGUAAGAACCUGACGAGAAGAUUAAUUUUAACGGCAAAAUUUGUAUAGCACAUAGUCUCUAUAAAAUAAAAUCUAUUUAUUUUAUAUUAUUGAUUUUUGGGCAAACUCUUUUUUUUAUUAUUGAACCGACGUCUUCGAUUUCGUUUCGCGAGAAAGAAAUUUGAAGCACUUUUUGCAGCAAUUAUGCAGAUACGAGUACAAGAGCAAAUGUGCUUCGUAAGUAUGGAAAGAGAAAAGAAUUAUUGAAAAAUCCAAUUUUUUCCUACUAGAGUUCACGAAUUUGUGCAAUUAGAUGGAAAUUUAACCUUUGAUUGAAUGAAACGUUUGUUUAAGAUAAGAUGUGUUCAGCCGCUUUGUAUGUCACCAAGCUUGCCGAUACAAAUUAGUGUGCGUUAAAAGUUGCUUUAUCCAAAUUAGUUUUACAUAUGGCACGCUUUUCCGAAGUACUAUGCAAUUUGUAUGCACAAUAAAACAAUUAGAACAGAAUGCAUCACUGUGAGGGAGUUUGAUUGGGUUUUCUGGAUAGUAAAGAAAGCGUCAGUUUUUUCUUAUUACUCAGAUAAGAGAUAAUAACCCUUUGAGUUUACAUAACGGUUACUUGUCAAACUUUUAAAUUUCAUUUCAUUUAGGUUCUAAGCUUCCAUCAUCAAUGAGAAAUCUUAGUCUAUAGCUAAUUGUCUUAUAGAUAUACAAACAGAUAAUAAUUCGGCCGAUGCAAUUUAUAACAUUGAAGAAGCUGUGAAUGAAAAUGAUGAAAUAAAUAAACUAAAAAAGUAUGUUGAAGUUUCAGCAUCGGCCCAUUAUUUGUUAAUAGACUAAGAACAAUGCUGAAUAAAAAUUGUAAUUGCAAUAUCAUAGAAGCUGAAAAUAAUUCCAGUGCUUCGUCAAACAAAAUAGAAUUAUUCUACGGAUAAAAUCAACGUACGUAAUAAUAAUUUUGUUUAUUUAUAGCUUGUACUGCACAUUAUUUAUUUCAAUACUUUUUAAUUUAGCAAGUACGAUCUACAAAUGGAGCAGCGAUGAUGCAACAAAGCAAACAAAAUUUACUAUAUUAUAAUUCAAUGAUAUAUAAGGAAAAAUUUGUUUUAUACAUCAAAAAUAUAUAAUCAAUCAAGUAUAUUUUUUAAACUGCCAGCUUAUGAGUAGACACAAAAAAAUAAAAGUAUAUUACAUUAAAUUUCUAGGUUGUUUUACUUCCGCGCAAAAGAAAACGGAAAAUGCAUACCGCUAACAUUAGAAUAAUAAAGUUUGUGAGUAUAUUUGUAGCUUCUUGUAGAAAUACAAAACGAAUACAAACGUAAAACAUCGUAACAAAUUGGAAAAUGCAUCUGGCCUCGACAAUGGGACGAGCUAAUAGUUUGUCCAAAUCCAGACAAAAAUGAUCAGUAACAACCUGCAUCUGGCGGCAGCACUUGGAAGAAUUUACCAUCUAAAUCAGCAUCAUUACUUCACUACAUAAGAUCAUUUUCAAAAGCUUCAAGUGCGUCCAAUUUUCACUAGCUGCAGUUUCCUUGGUAAAAAAAUUAAAUAUUCUAAGAUUAAAGAUAUAUUUACAUCCACAAUUAACUUUUUUUGUAGUCGUACCGUUAGAUACAAGUAAAACAUGUAAAAAAGCUAUAUAAUCGAGUAUCAAGCUACUUUACUUGAUAUUAAAAGGCAAAAAUAAAUAUUUAAUUGUUAUUAAAAAGUAAUAAAUCAAGGAACGCUACUUUGAAAUUUCAAAAUAAAACAAUAUGAAUAAACUGCAAA